CCUACGGGGGGCUGCAGUCGAGAAUCUUCGGCAAUGGGCGCAAGCUUGACCGAGCGACGCCGCGUGCGGGAUGAAGGCCUUCGGGUUGUAAACCGCUUUGGUCCGAAAGAAAGGGUAAAACUUGAUCGAUCGGAGAAACAAGGACGGGCUAAGUUCGUGCCAGCAGCCGCGGUAAGACGAACCGUCCAAACGUUAUUCGGAAUCACUGGGCUUAAAGGGCGCGUAGGCGGCCGAGCGGGUCGUGGGUGAAAUCCCCCAGCUUAACUGGGGAACUGCUUACGAUACCACUGCGGCUCGAGGAAGGAAGGGGCAAUUGGAACUGUCGGUGGAGCGGUGAAAUGCGUUGAUAUCGACAGGAACGCCUGUGGCGAAAGCGAAUUGCUGGUCCUUUUCUGACGCUGAGGCGCGAAAGCCAGGGGAGCAAACGGGCUUAGAUACCCGUGUAGUC
rnacentral:rRNA from 1 species